rnacentral:rRNA from 1 species
AACGAACGCUGGCGGCAUGCCUAACACAUGCAAGUCGAACGAGACCUUCGGGUCUAGUGGCGCACGGGUGCGUAACGCGUGGGAACCUGCCCUUAGGUUUGGAAUAACUCCCCGAAAGGGGUGCUAAUACCGGAUAAUGUCUUCGGACCAAAGAUUUAUCGCCUUUGGAUGGGCCCGCGUUGGAUUAGCUAGUUGGUAGGGUAAAAGCCUACCAAGGCGACGAUCCAUAGCUGGUCUGAGAGGAUGAUCAGCCACACUGGGACUGAGACACGGCCCAGACUCCUACGGGAGGCAGCAGUGGGGAAUAUUGGACAAUGGGCGAAAGCCUGAUCCAGCAAUGCCGCGUGAGUGAUGAAGGCCUUAGGGUUGUAAAGCUCUUUUAACCGGGAUGAUAAUGACAGUACCGGGAGAAUAAGCUCCGGCUAACUCCGUG